UAGUCCACGCCGUAAACGAUGGAUACUAGCUGUUUGUUUCGAUUUAUCGAGAUGAGUGGCCAAGCGAAAGUGAUAAGUAUCCCACCUGGGGAGUACGUUCGCAAGAAUGAAACUCAAAGGAAUUGACGGGGGCCCGCACAAGCGGUGGAGCAUGUGGUUUAAUUCGAUGAUACGCGAGGAACCUUACCAAGGCUUAAAUGCAAUACGCAUACUAUGGAAACAUAGUAGUCCAUUGGACGGAUUGCAAGGUGCUGCAUGGUUGUCGUCAGCUCGUGCCGUGAGGUGUCAGGUUAAGUCCUAUAACGAGCGCAACCCCUGUUGUUAGUUGCCAGCAUUUUAAAGAUGGGGACUCUAACAAGACUGCCGGUGCAAACCUCGAGGAAGGUGGGGAUGACGUCAAAUCAUCACGGCCCUUACGUUUUGGGCUACACACGUGCUACAAUGGUAGGUACAAUGAGCAGCCACUGGGUGACCAGGCGCUAAUCUUAAAAACCUAUCACAGUUCGG
rnacentral:rRNA from 1 species